rnacentral:rRNA from 1 species
AUUGAACGCUGGCGGCAUGCCUAACACAUGCAAGUCGAACGCGAAAGGGGGGCAACUCCUGAGUAGAGUGGCGAACGGGUGAGUAAUACGUAGGAAUCUUUCCUUAAGUGGGGGAUAACCCGGGGAAACUCGGGCUAAUACCGCAUACUCUCUAGUUGUGAGAGCAAUUAUAGUAAAGGUGACUAGCAAUAGUUACCGCUUUUGGGGGAGCCUAUGUCGGAUUAGCUAGUUGGUAGGGUAAUGGCCUACCAAGGCAACGAUCCGUAGCUGGUUUGAGAGAACGACCAGCCACACUGGGACUGAGACACGGCCCAGACUCCUACGGGAGGCAGCAGUGGGGAAUAUUGGACAAUGGGCGAAAGCCUGAUCCAGCAAUGCCGCGUGUGCGAUGAAGGCCUGAGGGUUGUAAAGCACUUUUGUUGGGGAAGAAAUGCUCAAGGCUAAUAUCCUUGAGAGCUGACAUUACCCAAAGAAUAAGCACCGGCUAACUCUGUGCCAGCAGCCGCCGUAAAAC